GAGGCGCGGCACGGGGAACAAAGGCCCACAGAGGGGUCCUGGAGAGCGCGGCUCCCCGGGGACUGGGGCGAGGGCGGCCCCCUCCCCCUCGGCUCCUCCCUCUCCUCCCCUGCUUCUACCCCGAGGCCCGUCGCGCAGCCCGAGCUGCGCCAACUUCGCCAGCGGUUCCCAAGUUGCCAGGGGCGCAGGGGUGGGAGCUGGGUGGGGUGAGGAAGAAAAGGAGGAGGAGGAGGAGUGCUCCCCGGGCGCCUUGGACACGGUUCAGGAAUCCGCCGCCGCUGCCGGCCGCUCGCAGACUCCGGCCGAACGGGGAGGACGCCAGGCAGGACCGCUCGCUCGCUGCGCAGGACGGCGCCCGCCUGGCGCCGCUUCCCGCCCGGCGUGCGAACCGGCGGGGGCGCGCCUCCUUUCCUCCCCGCCACCGUCCCCGGAGGGGGGUGGCGCAGAGCCGGGGCCGCAGGGGCGCUGGAGCCCCGGAGCCCCUUCUCCCUGGUCCUGCCGAGAGGAAGGCAAAGUUGCGGGCGGAUGCUGCCGGCGCCGGACCCCAACCUCGGAGAGUCGGAUACGCCCCCGCUGGAGGAGGCUCGGUGGCGGGAGGUUCUCAACCUGGGAUGAUUUUGUACUUACUCCCUGCCCAGAGGACAUCUGACAAUGUCUGGAGACCUUUUUGAUUGUCACAUCUGAGCAGAGGGGAUUCUACUGUUAUCUAAUGCGUAGAGGCCAAGGAUGCUGUUAAACGUCUUACGGUGCACAGGAUGGCCCCCUCAACAAAGAAUGAUCUGACCCAAAAUGUCAACGGUGCUGACAUAAAAAAGAAUGAAAUAAUGCCAUUUGCAGCAACAUGGAUGGACCUUGAGAUUGUCAUACUGAGUGAAGACCAGGUGUCCCCCACCUGAACGACAAGCCAGGUCCUGAGUGAUGCCCCCGAGCUGAGUGCCCACAGCCCUACCCUUCCCCAUGGAGAAAGGACUCACUUUGCCCCAGGACUGCCGACACCUUCUGCACAGCCUGAGAAUGAGAAGCAAAUAUGCCCUUUUCCUGGCUUUUGUGGUGGUGGUUUUUGUCUUCAUUGAAAAGGAAAAUAAAAUCAUAUCAAGGGUCUCUGACAAACUGAAGCAGAUCCCCCAAUCCCUGGUGGAUGCCAAUAGCACCGACCCAGCCCUGGUCUUGGCCGAGAACGCAUCCCUCCUGUCCCUGAGUGAGCUGGAUUCGGCCUUCACGCAGCUGCAGAGCCGCCUGCGAAACCUCAGUCUGCAGCUGGGCAUGGAGCCAGCAGAGGAGGCCGAGGAGGAGGAGUUGGCGGCCCGCGAGUUAGAGCAGGAGCAGCUGGAGCCCGGCGCGCCCGCUAAGGCCCCGCCCCGGCGCCACGUGCUCCUCAUGGCCACCACGCGCACCGGCUCCUCAUUUGUGGGCGAAUUCUUCAACCAGCAGGGCAACAUCUUCUACCUCUUCGAGCCGCUGUGGCACAUAGAACGCACGGUGUCCUUCGAGCAGGGCGGCGCCAACGCCGCGGGCUCGGCCCUGGUCUACCGCGACGUGCUCAAGCAGCUCUUCCUGUGCGACCUGUACAUCCUGGAGCAUUUCAUCAUCCCGGCGCCCGAGGACCACCUGACCCAGUUCGUGUUCCGCCGGGGCUCCAGCCGCUCCCUCUGCGAGGACCCCGUCUGCACGCCCCUCGUCAAGAAGGUCUUCGAGAAGUACCCCUGCAAGAACCGCCGCUGCGGCCCCCUCAACAUGACUCUGGCCGCCCAGGCCUGCCGCCACAAGGAGCAUAUGGCGAUCAAGGCCGUCCGCAUCCGCCAGCUCGAGUUCCUGCAGCCGCUGGCCGAGGACCCCCGCCUGGAUCUGCGCGUCAUCCAGCUGGUGCGCGACCCCCGCGCCGUGCUGGCCUCCCGCAUGGUGGCCUUCGCCGACAAGUACGAGACCUGGAAGAAGUGGCUGGCCAAGGGGCAGGACCAGCUGAGGGAGGAGGAGGUGCUGCGGCUGAAGGGCAACUGCGAGAGCAUCCGCCUGUCCGCGGAGCUGGGCCUGAGGCAGCCGGCCUGGCUGCGGGGCCGCUACAUGCUGGUGCGCUAUGAGGACGUGGCCCUGCGGCCGCUGCAGAAGGCCCGGGAGAUGUACCGCUUUGCCGGCAUUCCCCUGACCCCGCAGGUGGAGGACUGGAUCCAGAAGAACACGCAGGCGGCCCACGACGGCAUCUACUCCACGCAGAAGAACUCCUCGGAGCAGUUCGAGAAGUGGCGCUUCAGCAUGCCCUUCAAGCUGGCGCAGGUGGUGCAGGCCGCCUGCGGCCCCGCCAUGCGCCUCUUUGGCUACAGGCCCGUGCAGGACGCCGCCUCGCUCUCCAACCGCUCCGUCAGCCUGCUGGAGGAGCGUGGCACCUUCUGGGUCACGUAGGGCGCCCGGGGCGGCCAGCGCCCCUCCUGGUGAAAGUCCCGUCCCGCCCCACCGGCCUCACCCCGCCAGCGGGGAGACCGCGGCGGCGCUGCCGCGGAGGGCGGGCGGGCAGACGUGCAGGGCCGAGGCGGCGCCUGCGCAGUAGAAGUAGGCCCGCAGUCCGCUCGCUUCCCGCCGCGGCUGUAGGCGUGGGGCUUCCUGGUGAGAACAGGACAGUGGCUGUUUUGAGGGCUGUCAAACGCAGACCUAAGGGGCUGUGGUCUCCUGAGCAGACCCAGGCAGGCCCGGGCCUGUUGACAAGCCUUACUCUUCUCUCUCUCUCUCUCUGGCUCUCUCCCCCUCUCCCUCCUUCUUUAUCUCUCUCACACACACAUCCCAAACAUACAUGAAACACACGUGGAUGCCCACAGACCCAGUGGGCCAGAGUCCACAAAUAUUUAACAACCGGAAGGGGUUCCGGGCACUGACUAGUCACACUCAGACCCCCUGCUGUACCCAGUGUACGGAAUUUCAGUUUCUGAAUUUCUCCAUAAUCCAGUGUGACAUCUGGGUGGGUUCCAGGGGAGAGGUGAAGUCAGUUCUAUAUAGGGCUACAAAACAAACAUGCACAUAUAAAGACAGAUACCUACACUCACACCACACAUAGGCAGAAACACACAUACACGCAGAAAAGGAUCUUCCCCAUCGCUUUACGCCCACAGUGUUUAUCUGUAUAACACACCUAAAGAGGAGACUUUGGUUACCUUUUUAGAGUUAAUCAGGGAUGGGGGAAUGAUAUACACUUACGGACCAUGACCCUGGUCCCCAUCCAAGUUUGAGGCUGAAUGGUGGAUACAGAACUGCCAAGUCCAUGGCCUCUGCCCACCUUAGAUUCUCGUGGCUACCUCCCCUGACCCAUUCAUGUCCUUGCUGCCAGCAGGCAGCAUGUUUCGAAAUGGCGUGGCUGACCCUCGUGUGACUGCAGCCCGAAGGCCCAGUCCUAGCUCAGCUGGCUUCCCAAGAGCAUGUCCAUAUUUGAAGGCUGCCUCAGGCGUGAGUGGCAGGAGCAUCUGUGGUCCCUGGAGGCAAAAGGCAGCUCUCAAGUCCUGUUAUUUCCAGCCAGGCCUCUCUGGGGCAAGGCCCAGAAGGAAUUAGAGUGCUUUUGGGGGAGAAGUCAUAUCAGGAUACCCCCUCCCCUGAGAAGACAGGGGACAGAGGUCAGCCACAUGGUUGGUCGUCAUGGUUAUGUGGUUAGUGUCUGAAAUUCCUUCUUUAGGGCUCUGGGAAGAGUAUUGCUCAAUGUGGGAUGGGCUGAGUGGUUUAUGUUUUUUUUUUUUUUUUUAAGUUAUUUAUGGUUUGGUCUCUUGUGGCUGUGUUUUCAGAUUUGUUUCUGCAGGAGUGCUGCUUGGAAGCAGUGUGGGCUUGAGGGGCUGAGGGGGGCUGGGAGGACCAGUGGGGAGCACGUUGGCUCCUGCUAGAGGCAGAAGAGGAGGAGGAGGAGCCUUCCGCCAGAAGGAUCAGAGCCUAGGUGGCCACAUGGCAGCCCACAGUGCCCAUGGGCUUUUCUGUUGGAACCCAUGUGGAACAAAUCUCAGAAACCACCAGCGUUCUUUGCUGAGUGGCCAGAGGCAGCAUAAAUUAGCAAUCCUCACCCCCUCCCCGAGAAGAAGCCAGAUCUGAACAUCUUUCCCAGGUCCUGACAUAUUUCCUGGGGAGUCAGAGGCCCAUGACCAAGCAGCAGAUGUCCCCAAAGGGGAAGCGUUUCCCCACUCCCACCCCAAACGGGAGCAGAACUCAGUACCACCUCAGAACUUGCAGGAAGUAUCAGCAGUUCACUAAGGGCUGUUUCUGAUUUCCUGGACAACCUCUGUAUCAGAUCCAUCCCAUUGUCAAGCCCAGAGGGCUGAGUUUUGUUUUGAGUAUUAUGGGAAGCAGGGAAAUACAGGAUCUGAGUCUAGCUAGUGUUGCCAUAGGGAAGGGAGGGAUGUGUCCUGGCAGCAGGCCAGCCUUUGAAAAGGUGAGGACAGUGGCCAUCUUGUGGGAUCCAUUGCAAUCAGUGCAUUUGAGCUGCUGGGUCUCCAUCACCAUGGAUUCAGCCAAUCACGGAAGUCUGUAGGUUUUCUAGUCCAAGAAUAAAUUGUGCAGGGAACUGGCUCUAAUUUGGGGUCCAAAGGGACUCUAGCUCUGAAAACUUGAUCCUGGGGCAGAGUGGGGCCAGGAUGGUUCUGGCAGGCCCAGAAGUGCUGGCCAUUCUCCCCCAGCCCCUGCCCUGCUCCCUCCACUGUUCCCCACCUGGGGGUGGUGGGGGGCAGGCACCUCUAUCCAGGGCCUGCCCUGGGGCCCUCCUAGUGUGGACAGCAGACUCCCUUCCUUCCUUCCUUCCUUCCUUCCUUCCUUCCUUCCUUCCUUCCUUCCUUCCUUCCUCCCUUCCUUCCUCUCUCUCUGGGGCCAGGGCCUCCACCCCUGAGCUCUGAGAACUGUGCCGAGAAUGGACCUUUGGGACGUCUCAGGACAGUGACAGUUUGUACACUGCAGGUUGACUUAAUUUAUUUAUUUUGUGAAAAAGAAGAGACGGAAAAUAUUUUAUUACUUGCAGGGACUCAAAGCUGUACCCAAAUCAAGAAAGACAAUAAUAGAAAGCAUUCACUUCAUACAUACAAGGACACGUCAAGACGAUUCAGAAUACACGAGAGGACAAAACUGAGAGCAUGGGAGUCACGAUGGCUGCAGGGUAUUUUUUUAGCUCGGUUUCCUCUUGUUGAUUUGAAGAUGCGGCAGGAAGGUCCUUUCUGCUGUAUUACCUUUGUCCAGGUGUCUGAAAUAGGACACAGCUCAAGUGAGUGUUGCCUUGGGAUCAGCAAUGCUCUGGAAACCCUUGGGGAUUAGGGAGGACAGGGUGGGGUGACUGCUGACUCUGUGCUCCAUGGGACCUGGUUGGAGUCACCCAUGAGGGGUUUUCAGCAGGGAGCUGGGCUAGGGAAGGUGGUCCAGUUGGGAGCUAGUGCCUCCUUUUCCAGCCAGGCCAGACCUGGUUUCUCUGCUCUCACUGCACCACCCCCUCCAGGAGCCUUCCCCUCUGCAGCACCCACCUGCCUGGAGACAGAGGGAGCAUUGAGGCCUCACCUCUGCCGCCAGCUUCCCCGGAACAAGAGGCUCAUUCAGCAAUGAGCGUUUACUCAUUUUCUUUCUCUUCAUGAAGACCUCUUUAGCCCAGCCUAUAAAAAUAGUUCAGAACAUUCCAGGUCUUGGUGAGACAGGGCAGUGUCCAACACUCUUAGGCCAUCGCCACCACUGUCCGUUCCUGGCUUCUCCUCUGGGCUUUGUUUAUAAACCUUGGAGGACACUGGGGGAAGGGUCUUUGGGAGCAGGAUUUUUGGGGGCAGGAUUCCUGAGUCCCACGGAGAGGGAAAAAGAAGAAGCAGAUGUGCAGAUCCCUGUAGCACAGCCUCUGCAGGUUAUCGCCAAGUUAUUACUAAGGUUGAGAGACAUGAGAAAAUUCUAGCCUUUUGUCCCUUUAUGGGAUGCACUCACUUGCAAAUAAGUAACUAAAUGAACAGAGAAAAAUGUUUGUCUGCCAGUACCCUCAGCCUGGGAGCUAUGCCAGAGGCUGGUCUAAUGGGGCAGCUGCUGACCAAACCCUUAAGAGCAGAGGACCCACCCAACCCUUUACAAUGACAUCUUUCCCUUCCGCCUCUGCUCUCUGAAUGAGCUCCAGGGGAUCCCUGUCCCAGAAGAUGUAUGCUUGGUCUAGAGAGCAGACAGGAGAUGUAAGCAUCAGAUAGUCUGGUCCUGACCCUAUAGAUCUCUUCCAGCCCUGGUUCUGUGUUAAUUGACUAUGAGACCUAUCCCUUAAGAGGCCCUGGAUUAGGAAAGACAGGGGCGUAAGAUUGGAUGGUUCUGUCCCCAAGGCAGUCCUCUCCCACUCUCAUCCCCAAAGGCUGAAAGCAAAGGUGGGUUCCUGAGGCAGGGAGGGGUGGGUGGGGGAACAGAUGGCCUACAGAGGAUGCUCCUUCUUUGAACUUUUACAGACUGAUGAGAUCCAAGAAGAAGUGGAUCUUGUCAGUCUGCACAAAUUUAAAGAAGGAGCAUCCUCUGAGAUCCAAAGUUAAUGGGUUUGCCUGUGAAGAUUCCUAGCACAUGGGAGAGAGGAGGCCCAGGGUUUCCUGAAAGCAACCAUAUGGCCUUUCAACUGCUAGAGUAGAAGUUGCUCUUUACCUCAAAAGGAUGAAGCAGAAUUGGCAAAUGCAGAUGUCUUAAGAACUUCAAGAUCCUAGGGUCUUGUGACCUUUGUCAUUCCAUACUGUGCAUGGGGAGCUAAUUAGUUACAUGUUUCCAAGAUUACAUGGGGCCAUCUUCAGGGCCUAGCUCAUAUUGUAGACCAGGUAUUUUAUUUGUGAAAUAAAAUGACCUAUGUACCUUGCUUUUUCUAACAUUGGACUUGAACUGGGCACCCCCUAAAAUCUCCAUUUCAUCUGUGCUUUCUAGGCCAAGUCUGACUGGUUGCCUUGUUCCCUCCUGGAUCCUGCAAACUCUUUUUGCCAAGAGUUAUGGCCCUAUGUCAUGUUUCAUGGCCACAUAGUACAGGAUACCUCUUCAUGGCCAUAUGUGGCCAAGGAGACACGGGUUCAAUCCCUGCUCCAGGAAGAUUCCGCAUGCCGAGGAGCAACUAAACCCGUGCACCACAACUACUGAGCCUGCGUGCCACAGCUACUGAAGUCCGAGCACCUAGAGCCUGUGCUCCACAAGAGAAGCCACCACACUGAGAAGCCCAUGAACCUCAACAAAGAGCAGCCCCCACUCACAGCAACUAGAGAAAGCCCAUGCACAGCAACAAAGACCCAAUGCAGCCAAAAGUAAUAAUAAUAAAUAAAAUAAAAAUUUUUUUAAAAUCUGAAAAAAAAGGAUGAGGUCUGAGAGAUAGAUACCCAGACACUGUUGGGCAGGGACAGGAACAUUAGCUAGAGGUCAAGGGACCUGGGGACAGUUUCCAGCCUUGGCAAUCUCCAGUCUUGUGACCUUGGG